AUGCCAAACCCGCAGAAACCAAACUGCAAUGUUUUGUCACCAAAUUGUACUAUUACGAGAACACUCCAACAACUUUCAUUAUUCAGUAAGUUCAGAAAACAACUACACAGACACACCAGAGACCGGGAGUGCAAAGCUGCGAAGCCUGGCCUCUCAUCUCCUCACCAGAGUCUGCAGGGCGAAGUGCUUGCUCUUCUCCUCAUCUCUCUACUAAAUCCUGAUGGACCAGUGCACGACACCGUCCCACUUCCUCGGGGCGAGCUGCUCAACGAGAUUGAUGGUCUCGACAACCAUCUCGAGCACGUUGGGCAGACGACGUCAGGUUCUAUGGGUUGUCCAAUCGUGGGUUCCUAUAUAUGUGAGCUCUUUGGUGAGUGCCACCAUUUGAGAUGGGGAAGGCCCUUUUCGGUAGUGCAUGGAUGGUGGUGUGGCACAUCCGACCACUCUGAGGGCACAUCAAGGCACACCAUUGUCCUCUACCUUGGUCUCAUUGCUUCAGCGGUCGAGUGUCGUCAUUUUCAACUUGUGUGUAUCCUUUUAUUUGUUGCUUGCUAG
rnacentral:rRNA from 1 species